GACGAACGCUGGCGGCGUGCUUAACACAUGCAAGUCGAACGGUGAAGCGCCUUCCUUUUUGGUGGGUGUGGAUGAGUGGCGAACGGGUGAGUAACACGUGAGUAACCUGCCCCCUUCUUCUGGAUAACCGCAUGAAAGUGUGGCUAAUACGGGAUAUUCUGGGUCUGUCGCAUGAUGGGUCUGGGAAAGAUAUUGUUUCGGUGGGGGUUGGGCUCGCGGCCUAUCAGCUUGUUGGUGGGGUGAUGGCCUACCAAGGCGGUGACGGGUAGCCGGCCUGAGAGGGUGGGCGGUCACACUGGGACGGAGACACGGCCCAGACUCCUACGGGAGGCAGCAGUGGGGAAUAUUGCACAAUGGGCGCAAGCCUGAUGCAGCGACGCCGCGUGAGGGAUGGAGGCCUUCGGGUUGUGAACCUCUUUCGCCAGUGAAGCAGGCCUGCCUCGUUUGUGGGUGGGUUGACGGUAGCUGGAUAAGAAGCGCCGGCUAACUACGUG
rnacentral:rRNA from 1 species